rnacentral:ncRNA from 1 species
GUCUGGUUAUUCCGAUAACGAACGAGACUCUAGCCUAUUAAAUAGGUGCGUGGUUCUCUGCACCUUGCACCCUUCUUAGAGGGACAAGCGGCUCCUAGCCGCACGAAACAGAGCAAUAACAGGUCUGUGAUGCCCUUAGAUGUCCGGGGCCGCACGCGCGCUACACUGAAGGAAGCAGCGUGUUUUUAUCCCUGUCUGUAAAGACUGGGUAACCCGUGGAACCUCCUUCGUGAUUGGGAUAGGGGCUUGCAAUUGUUCCCCUUGAACGAGGAAUUCCCAGUAAGCGCGAGUCAUAAGCUCGCGUUGAUUACGUCCCUGCCCUUUGUACACACCGCCCGUCGCUACUACCGAUUGAAUGAUUUAGUGAGGUCUUCGGACCGAUACCCGGAGCGGCCUUUCGGUUGCGCCGGUGUGUUGGAAAGAUGACCAAACUUGAUCAUUUAGAGGAAGUAAAAGUCGUAACAAGGUUUCCGUAGGUGAACCUGCGGAAGGAUCAUUA